AUUGAACGCUGGCGGCAUGCUUUACACAUGCAAGUCGAACGGCAGCGCGGGCUUCGGCCUGGCGGCGAGUGGCGAACGGGUGAGUAAUGCAUCGGAACGUGCCCAGUAGUGGGGGAUAGCCCGGCGAAAGCCGGAUUAAUACCGCAUACGACCUGAGGGUGAAAGCGGGGGACCGAAAGGCCUCGCGCUAUUGGAGCGGCCGAUGUCGGAUUAGCUAGUUGGUGGGGUAAAGGCUUACCAAGGCGACGAUCCGUAGCUGGUCUGAGAGGGCGACCAGCCACACUGGGACUGAGACACGGCCCAGACUCCUACGGGAGGCAGCAGUGGGGAAUUUUGGACAAUGGGGGCAACCCUGAUCCAGCCAUGCCGCGUGCGGGAAGAAGGCCUUCGGGUUGUAAACCGCUUUUGUUCGGGAAGAAAUCCUCUGGGCUAAUACCCCGGGGGGAUGACGGUACCGGAAGAAUAAGCACCGGCUAACUACGUGC
rnacentral:rRNA from 1 species